rnacentral:rRNA from 1 species
GACGAAGGGGGCUAGCGUUGUUCGGAAUUACUGGGCGUAAAGGGCGCGUAGGCGGCCGUUUAAGUCAGGUGUGAAAGCCCUGGGCUCAACCUGGGAGUGGCACUUGAUACUGGAUGGCUUGAGAUUGGGAGAGGGAUGCGGAAUUCCAGGUGUAGCGGUGAAAUGCGUAGAUAUCUGGAGGAACACCGGUGGCGAAGGCGGCAUCCUGGACCAACACUGACGCUGAGGAGCGAAAGCCAGGGGAGCAAACGGG